UACGGAGGGGGCUAGCGUUGUUCGGAAUUACUGGGCGUAAAGCGCACGUAGGCGGCUUUGUAAGUUAGAGGUGAAAGCCCGGGGCUCAACUCCGGAAUUGCCUUUAAGACUGCAUCGCUAGAAUUGUGGAGAGGUAAGUGGAAUUCCGAGUGUAGAGGUGAAAUGCGCAGAUAUCAGGAGGAACACCAAUGGCGAAGGCAGCUCAC
rnacentral:rRNA from 1 species